AUUGAACGCUGGCGGAAUGCUUUACACAUGCAAGUCGAACGGCAGCACGGACUUCGGUCUGGUGGCGAGUGGCGAACGGGUGAGUAAUAUAUCGGAACGUGCCCAGUCGUGGGGGAUAACGUAGUGAAAAUUACGCUAAUACCGCAUACGAUCUAAGGAUGAAAGCGGGGGAUCGCAAGACCUCGCGCGAUUGGAGCGGCCGAUAUCAGAUUAGGUAGUUGGUAGGGUAAAGGCCUACCAAGCCAACGAUCUGUAGCUGGUCUGAGAGGACGACCAGCCACACUGGAACUGAGACACGGUCCAGACUCCUACGGGAGGCAGCAGUGGGGAAUUUUGGACAAUGGGCGAAAGCCUGAUCCAGCCAUUCCGCGUGCAGGAUGAAGGCCCUCGGGUUGUAAACUGCUUUUGUACAGAACGAAAAGGUCUCUACUAAUACUAGGGGCUCAUGACGGUACUGUAAGAAUAAGCACCGGCUAACUACGUGCCAGCCGCCGCGGUAA
rnacentral:rRNA from 1 species